GUGCGCGCGCGCGCACGGGAGGCACAAUGCGUGCACGUGAACGCGGGGAGCGAGCGGGCGGGCGGAGCUGGCGGGCGGACCCGGCUAGCCGAGCUUCCAAGAUUUUCAAAGCGCUGUCUUUGAUUCUGCGGUGGUGGUGGUCAUCUGUGGUUUACAGCCCUGAACCGGUGGUGGGAAUUCCACAUUCCUAUGACGGAGCCAACCGCGCGAACCGGAGGAGCGGACCGAGCGGUGGCAUCAGUUCGUGUGCAGGGAAAGCCUCCAUUCAGCAGUGGAUUGAGCGUGGC